GCAUUCGUGGCACUAUGAUUAAGCGCUCAGCUGCUAACUGAAAGGUUGGUGGUUCGAACUCACCCGGUGGCU
rnacentral:tRNA from 1 species